rnacentral:rRNA from 1 species
UACGUAGGGGGCAAGCGUUGUCCGGAUUUAUUGGGCGUAAAGCGCUCGCAGGUGGUUCGUCGCGUCGUGCGUGAAAGACCCCGGCUCAACUGGGGGAGGUCGUGCGAUACGGGCGGACUGGAGGCCAGUAGGGGGAUGCGGAAUUCCGGGUGUAGUGGUGGAAUGCGUAGAGAUCCGGAGGAACACCAGCGGCGAAGGCGGCAUCCUGGACUGGUCCUGACACUCAGGAGCGAAAGCGUGGGGAGCGAUCCGG